CAAGAAAAAACACUUUGGAGAUCAAACAAAUAUUAAAGGAGACAUAACAUGAAAAACCCACUUUUUUAUCCAUUAACACAGUGUGUUUCACAUUUUAAGUGUCUAAGUGAGCAAAAAGGCUUAUAUUAUUCACUGGAGUUGCUAUUUAGAUAUUUAAUAAUUAAGUUUUGGGCAUAUUUGUCCACCCGUUCAGUUUUUACAUUAUCUAUUACAUCAGUAAUUAAUUUAGUCAGGAUAACUACCAAAUAUGGUAAUGGCCCUCGGCUAAAGACAGAGCCAAUCCGCCAUUUUUUCUUCUCGCUAAGAUUUUUUGUAGUCCUAUUGGAAAAAUGCAGAAUGUCUGGUUAUUUUAGCCACACACAGCUCAAAACUGUUCCUCGUUUUAAGGAAGGGUGGUGUGGCAGUAUUUAAACCCAGGAGCUGAUGACACUACUGCUAAAAAAAACACAGAAGAAAAAGUAGUGUGUUUGUGUUUGUGUUUGUGUGUGUGUGUGUGUGUGUGUGUGCGCGCGGUUCAUUCGUUCGUGUCUCCUGGCUAGUAAGUACCGAGGGCUUCAUCUAUCUAAAAGGAGUCAUUUGCAUCUGAAUGUGGCAGCACCGGGACACAGCAGCAGAGCGAGUCCACAUCCAGAAGUCUGGAGCCGUGUUUCACUGACAGGCUGUCAGCCUAACGCCCUGAUGAGCUCAGCUGGGACAAACUGGUCUGAUGUUUAGGAACACAGAACGUUCAGAUGUUGGCGUUUCACGUCACCUACUGAGGAAGGAGACCCACCAGUAAAGAGAUGGUAGCUGGACCAGACCAAAAAUAUGGCGAUGACAUCAUGGAACUGGUCUUUGGAAAAGUUUUCCCUGAACCAACUCCAUUUCUAGAUGAGGUAGAGAAGAUCUGCAUCUCACCAACUCUCUGGUCUCAGUAUUCAGACAACGGAGGUCUCCCACUGUUAUCCAGGACCAGUUUGAAGCCCACAUACUGCCCCUCCCUCAUCAUCAGGAAACAUCAAUCCGUAUCCUGAGGACAACAGAAGACGACAGGAGGACAGGAACUCUGAGACCUAGACACCACCAGCACCGAGACACAAAGCACCUGUGUGCACAACGCCUGUUUAACUACUAAAGCCUGUUUAUUAUAUUGUUCUACUUAUUUGCUGUGAGGUUAAUACUUAGAAAAUUUGUAUAUUAAUGUAAACAAUUUAAAAAAAUCACUGAUUGUAUGUUUUCUUUUAGAUGUAAUGGUCCAAACUCAGCCUUGUAGACAUUUAUUGCAUCCUGUAGGUAAAUACACAGAACAGGCUCAGAUCCAGGAUGACCCAGCAUGCUCUUCUUCCAUUCUGGCUGUUAGGGAUUUUAUGAAUAACUCAAUGCCUACUGAUGUUUCCACCUAACGGUAUUUAUUUAGAAUGCAGGUAAGAUUUAACUAUAUUUGUUAGCAAAGCAGACUGAUCUUGGGAAUUUCACUGCAGCACUGAUGUCCACCUCUCUGUACACAUUAGAGAGAAUUACCACUUUACAGCUAAACACAUUUAAUAAAGAUAUAGGCUACGCAUU